GAUGAACGCUGGCGGCGUGCCUAGUACAUGCAAGUCGAGCGAACAGACGAGGAGCUUGCUCCUCUGACGUUAGCGGCGGACGGGUGAGUAACACGUGGAUAACCUACCUAUAAGACUGGGAUAACUUCGGGAAACCGGAGCUAAUACCGGAUAAUAUAUUGAACCGCAUGGUUCAAUAGUGAAAGACGGUUUUGCUGUCACUUAUAGAUGGAUCCGCGCCGCAUUAGCUAGUUGGUAAGGUAACGGCUUACCAAGGCAACGAUGCGUAGCCGACCUGAGAGGGUGAUCGGCCACACUGGAACUGAGACACGGUCCAGACUCCUACGGGAGGCAGCAGUAGGGAAUCUUCCGCAAUGGGCGAAAGCCUGACGGAGCAACGCCGCGUGAGUGAUGAAGGUCUUCGGAUCGUAAAACUCUGUUAUUAGGGAAGAACAAAUGUGUAAGUAACUAUGCACGUCCUGACGGUACCUAAUCAGAAAGCCACGGCUAACUACGUG
rnacentral:rRNA from 1 species